AUUUAACGCUGGCGGAAUGCUUUACACAUGCAAGUCGAACGGCAGCACGGACUUCGGUCUGGUGGCGAGUGGCGAACGGGUGAGUAAUACAUCGGAACGUGCCCAGUCGUGGGGGAUAACGUAGCGAAAGCUACGCUAAUACCGCAUACGAUCUAAGGAUGAAAGCGGGGGAUCGCAAGACCUCGCGCGAUUGUAGCGGCCGAUGGCAGAUUAGGUAGUUGGUGGGGUAAAGGCUCACCAAGCCGACGAUCUGUAGCUGGUCUGAGAGGACGACCAGCCACAAUGGGAAUGAGACACGGCCCAGACUCCUACGGGAGGCAGCAGUGGGGAAUUUUGGACAAUGGGCGCAAGCCUGAUCCAGCCAUUCCGCGUGCAGGAUGAAGGCCCUCGGGUUGUAAACUGCUUUUGUACGGAACGAAAAGGCUCUGGUUAAUACCUGGGGCUCAUGACGGUAACGUAAGAAUAAGCACCGGCUAACUACGUGCCAGCAGCCGCCGUAA
rnacentral:rRNA from 1 species